rnacentral:rRNA from 1 species
UCACCUGUUUUUCAAAAACAUGUCUUAAAGAAUUAUAAUUUUAAGUCUAAUCUGCUCAAUGAAUUUAAUUUUAAAUAGCUGCAGUAUAAAUAACUGUACUAAGGUAGCAUAAUAAUUUGUUUUUUAAUUUAAAACUUGAAUGAAUGAUUUAAUGAAAUAUAAACUGUCUCAAUUUAAAUAAAUAAAAUUAUUUUUUAAGUUAAAAAACUUAAAUUUAUUUUAAAGACGAGAAGACCCUAAAGAAUUUUUAUAUUUAAAUUUUAUUUUAUAAAAUUUAAAUAAUUUAAUUGGGGAAAUUUUAAAAUUUAAUUAAUUUUUAAUUAAUUUAAACAAUUAUUUUUGAAUAAAUAAUAUUUUUUUAAAAAAAUAAACUAAAUUACCUUAGGGAUAACAGCAUAAUUUUUUUUUAAAGUUCAAAUUUUUAUUAAAGUUUAUGACCUCG